UGGGGAAUCUUGCGCAAUGGGCGAAAGCCUGACGCAGCCAUGCCGCGUGAAUGAUGAAGGUCUUAGGAUUGUAAAUUCUUUCAGCGGGGACGAUAGUGACGGUACCCGCAGAAGAAGCCCCGGCUAACUUCGUGCCAGCAGCCGCGGUAAUACGAAGGGGGCUAGCGCUGCUCGGAUUUACUGGGCGUAAAGGGCGCGUAGGCGGAUUGACAAGUUGGGGGUGAAAGCCCGGGGCUCAACCUCGGAAUUGCCUUCAAACUGUCAGUCUUGAGUUCGGGAGAGGUGAGUGGAACUCCGAGUGUAGAGGUGAAAUUCGUAGAUAUUCGGAAGAACACCAGUGGCGAAGGCGACUCACUGGCCCGAUACUGACGCUGAGGCGCGAAAAGCGUGGGGAGCAAACAGGAUUAGAUACCCUGGUAGUCCACGCUGUAAACGAUGAGUGCUAGUUGUCGGCAGGCAUGCCUGUCGGUGACGCAGCUAACGCAUUAAGCACUCCGCCU
rnacentral:rRNA from 1 species